UUCAGCAUCCUGAGGAGGCAGCUGCUUUCCAGGGAGAAAGUGCAAAACCCUACCAUGGGGUGGACUGUCCUUCUCGAGUCAGGUCCCCUCCCGCGGUGUGUGUGCAGCAUGUGACUCUCCAGACAGAAAUCACACCUGCUUGCACGUCAUGACCUAAGGAACUAAUCAGACCUACCCGUUUGCAAUAUAAAAACCCAUUUACUUAAUUUUCUGGUAAGCGAGAUAUGCACACGCGCCUGUGGAAAGGCAUGUUCAGAGCGUCAGUGCGUUCUCCCCACCUGUUGUUUCUGGCGUCCCCACCAGUUAAGUUACAGUGACUUGAACAUUCCACCCAGAAAAUAUGCGGUUCCCAGCAGCCCACUUUCCUCAGGAUUCGAAGCCGACUUUGUUGCAUAAACCCCAAAUGGUAGUGCUAACCCCGCCCUUAUUAACCUGUCAGGAGGGUUCUGAAGGUUCUUUCUCUAUUAAGAGACCUUAACAACAGUACAUCUAGACUCAGACAUGGCUGUCUUUUUAAUGAAGGCCACGUGGGCUGAUACGUGGUGACCGUAAUCUCCUUCUCUUUGUCUAUAUUGUAAAUGUUGAUGAAAAUAACUUUUAAAUAUGUCUGGAGAAGACAGGUUCUGCAAGGGAGAGGCCAUUUAAAUGUACUUAGUGCACUGGACGGGGGUAUCGUAGUCCACACUUCGGUUUUCUAUGUGAGAAUCCCCUUUUCAUACACUACUCUCAGAAAGUCCCAUUUUCCAGUAGGCCUGUGCUGGAGCGUAAACAAACCCGUAACAUCCUAGACAAAGGUAGAACGUGUGCCUCCAAACGUCUGGUCCCUCCUUCCCUCCCCACCUUCCGCCCUGCCCAGGACCGGUCCCGAAGGAGGUGACAUCACGCAUCAAGAAGACCUAAUCCUGGACGUCGGAGUGGGCCUUAGAGCACUAACUGGAAAUGUUUUCUGAAUCUGUUGGAAGAUAGUUGAAAUGGCCUUGGGUCAAAAGCAACCUUCUUGAUUUUCAUCAUACCUAAAAUGCACAACCACCUUGCAGUAAAUCGUAAACAGUCAUAAAAUGGAAUUUUUGUAAAAUCUUAGAGAAAUAGCAUUCUUCGUCUUUGGCCUACAAGUAAGCAAAAGACUGGCAGCAAUGUGCCAGAGCUUUCCUGGGGUCCCUUCUUCCUAGUUUUAUUUUCAGUAGAUCUCCUCUUUUCCCCGUAGAUCUGAUUUUGUUGUUGAAAGCAAUUCACCCCCGUCUCCAUGCUAUUUCUGAAUAUUGUUGUGCCUUUUUAUACCUAAUCCAGAUGAAGACCAACUCCAUGCCUGUUCAGAAAAUCCCCUCAAUCCUACACCGCUGUUGUCUAGACACAAAGCAGAAGUGCAUUUAAUUCGAACUUUGUUUCACAAUAGAAAUCUUUUCUAAAAUCCAUGGUCCAGCAUUUAUCUGCUGGAAAACUCUCCAUGCCCAAAUGGCUGAUAUUUCUCAGUACACAUCAACUUAGUUAUGCAGCCAGGAUAGAACAGCCUGAUCUACUUGGAGUUAAGGAGAAAAUUGAUGUCUUGUUAUUUUAUGGAAGAGGGGAGAUAUAGAUGUGUCCCUCACAGGACAGCACUAACAAGUAUGGAUACAUGUCCUUCUGAUGGCUGACAGGCCAGGGACUCUGGGCACAAAUCAGCUGGGUCAAACUGCUCAAAAACAUUGGUCCCUAUAAGCUUAACGUACACAUGUUCUCAUUAAAAUUCCACUUGGCUAAUGCUGUUAUUCUCAGGAUGCAUGCAGUGAAAGUAGAGAUCAAACAGUUUUAAGAAGAAGAAGUAGCAACUAUCUGAUCUUAAAAGGAAGAACCCAGAAACUUACAUAUUUGAUGCAAAUGUUUUUAGUUACAACACACUUGGCGUUAUUGUCCUUAGUUAUCUCCUAGGCAUCGACAUUUGUAUUUAGAAAAUACUUUAACGGAUUCUGUAAUUUAGUAAUUGGUCUUUUUUGUAAAUAUUAGCAUCGGUUGUGUUUGACUUACCUCUUUUGCAGGCUUUUAGUAACCUUUUCCUUGAAUUUAAUGCAACAUGAAGACAAUGUUAAGUCACGUGACAGCUUCCAAACUGAUGAAUUCGCUGUUGACAGCUGAAGUAUGUUGUACAAGACUGCUAUAACUUGACCUGUAUUUCUGUUGAAUGAAGUUUUUGUAAAAAAAAAAAAUAUUAUU